AGAGUUACCUCAAUCUGUGGCAAUCAGUUUGUCUAUAGAAACCUAUGUGUUUUAUGUGCAGGUAUACUCACUCUCCACUUUCUUCUGAAGUCCCUCUGAAGGGAGAAAUCUCACCACUGCUGCUGCCUUCAUUGUUCUCCAUGGCAACAGGUGGUAAGAAGGAUCUGAAGAAGACAUUUUUAGGCCAGUGGUGAAGCUCACCUCCCAUUGUUCAUCAGAGAGGUGAUGGACUAACGGUAUGCUAUGAGGUAAACAUUUUCAGACAUAGUCAUUGUGUUGAUUAAUUUUACUUGACUACACUUGUU
rnacentral:lncRNA from 1 species